GAAGGAAGGUGAUGGUGGUAAUGGGGGAGGGGGGCCUUUUGAACGCCCCCCCCAGUUUAAAAAAAAAGAGUGAGAAAGGAAAGAAGUUUCCAACCUGAAGGGGGGGGGGACCAGACCUUUCUUUUCCAAAGCCCCCUCCCAUUUUUGAGAACAGACAACAAGCGCUUGCGUUCCAGACACUGCUGGCAAUAGAGAGGCUGUAAGAACUUCACGGAGAAGUUUCUGUUAAGAUUCUCACCUCCGGAUAGGCAGAAGGAGCUAAGAGGUGAUAAGGACAUUUGUACUUCUAAGAAGAUCCGAAGAACCAGCAAAAUGGCUUAAUUUUAAAUACACUGGCAAAAGAGAUGGAGGAUAGUUAUUUUUAUUAUUAUUAUUGUUCAGAACAAAUCUGUUUACUUCUCUUAGCUCUGCAAGAUUUAGGACUCUUGAAACAAGUGAGGAAAACUACAAAAGCUCAAGUUGUCUUAGACUGUGUUUUAGAAGGGCAGGGAAAGGCUAGGAGGCCUGUAGGAGGAAGACAGGAGGCAAGAAUGUAGGUGUCUGCAGAUUUGGGGCAGGGGGUGGGGAAGAGCCGUUCCUGGUGGAAGAAAAAGACAAAAAAAGCACCAGGACUUUUCCAAAAGCAGGAGUGUUUGCAGCUUGGCAGAACUGCUGACUCCGGGCUUAGAGGAUAAAAUAGAAGUCCA